rnacentral:lncRNA from 1 species
CCUGGUGCCAAAGUGUGUUUGUGGUAAUUAGGAGUGGGGAAAACCUCACUGCUAGAGGCUAGAGAAAAAUGAACAGGGCGCCCAUCAACAUCGUGUUGCUUUACAUGAGUGCACACUGAGACUCAGAGUGGUGAGUAAAGACAAUUAAUGUACAUGUGGAACUAAGCAUUUCUCAGAUAACUGUUUUUUUUAAAAAGAAACUUAAAUCCCUGUAUUAGACAAUGCAAUAUUCUUACCAUUUGUGCAAUGAUUUGUUAAUUAAAUUGCUGCUAAAACAAUAUUUAUUUUUCACCUUAAAAUCAGCUGAAUAUCAAUCUACAAUCAAUAUAGUGUUGCCUGGAGGCACCUCUUGCUUCAAAUUUGCUUCACAAAUCUGCUGCAGGGGAGAUGAUAAGAGUUCCAUGCAAUGUGCAUCUAGGUAGAGAUACAUAAAGAAGAGUUUUCCACAAGGUGAGGUCACCGAGAGGGUGGCAACGCCAUGACCGGAGCUUCCUUUGCACUUCUGUACCCAGAGGGUCUGCUUGCCAUUUCUAGCUGUGACUCAUCUCUCCAUCUGGUGAUCUCUAGCAAGCCACGAACCCACCCUGAGCUCUCCUGGACUGGUUUGGUGAGGACCAAAUGAUGGAGGUAAACCAUGAAGAACAAUGCGUGGAACACACUGAGUACUCCAUAAUAGAAACACACCCCAAACCCAACUCAUGGUCAACCCACAACCUGAUCCUCUUCAGAAUGACCACCCCAGGGUUGUUACCAUUCUUUACCCAGAG